UGUUGCAUUCAGUACAAAGUACAGUUUACCGUAGGCCGUAGCAACAGUACAGUACUACAGUCAGUAAGGUGCAGACUGUAGAACUGGGAGUCUGGGACGGUGCACGCUGCAUGGUCUGAGUAUUUUAGUCAUGUCUGCGAACUUCAACGUACGUUUUGCAUCUAGAAAGUCCCACUCACGGUGAGUCGUCUCACCAUGUGUCCGAGUGCUGUCCGUAUGCAGAAAUGUCGUCUCGUACUAGAAAGUAGAAACUUGAUGGAAUGGUAGAUUAAUUCAAACUGCUGAAUGAUUGGGUUUGAUGCUCAAUGCUAAGAUGCUGAAAGGAGUGCUUGACUCGGAAUAAGCUGCUAUUGUCUCUGGUGUUGGUGAAUCUACAUUUACUUUGCUUACGUUCUUCACCGUUUUUUUACAUGUGUUUUAGAAUCAGUCAAAAAGAAAGUGCUGAAUUGAAGGAAGAUGAUGUAUUGCUUUUAUGUUUAUCUUCCCAUCAGGCAUGCUUCACCUGGGAAUUAUUUCAAUCGUGAAAUAGCUAUUUUUGUCAAAGGAUUAAUGGGUUGGUGAAAUCUGAGCUUUAUGACAGCCCAAUGUCUACAGGGAUACGUUGCGGAUUUGACGCAUGCAGCUGGUGAUUGUGAUGUACUUGAGACAUCAAUGUUGGCUUUCGUCAGUGACGAGAAGAGUGACUUCUAUCUUCGUUCUGCUCCAUCCUUAUCUUAGUAACGCCCGCUCUUCUGGCUAUAAUGCUUUGUAUGCUUGUUCACAAUUUGUCUUACUCCACUCACAAGCUUGACCACUUCAGUCCGCUGUUACUCACCAUGGGAGAAUGCCUAGGUCUGAAAGCUUUCAAUGUAAACUUGUCAAUUUCAUGUGUUGUUGUGGAGUGCUGUACCUUUUGUGAAGACUCUUGCUGCAUGUUGGGAUGUUUUGUCACAUGGAGAAGUACUUUUACUUUAAAGAGGAAAUGCGCAAGGGCCAUGCAGCUUACUGUCCACUAUUUUGUUCAUAAUCAUUGUUUUCUACUGAAUUCCAAAGCUUAAACAAUCUUUUCCCCUAACUUUUGAAAGGUAGAUUAAUUCAAGGUGUUGAAUGAUGGUGUUUGCCGCUCGAUGCGUAGAUGGUGAAAGACGUGCUUGACUCGAAUAAGCUGCUGCUGUCCCUGGUGUCGGUGAAUCUACAGUUUCUUUGCUUACGUUCUUCACCUUCUUUGGACAUGUGGGUAAACCGUUUGGUAACAUCUGAGAUUCAUGGUAGUCCAACGUCCUCGUGGAUUUGCUGCGGAUUUGUCGCAGCCAGCUGUUCAACCAGAGAGAGAGAAAGUUUGUCGGGUCGUGGCAUGGAGAUUCUUGGGCCAAUAUUGGCCUUUGCCGACAUUAUCUUCCCAACUCUCGUCAUCUAGCUCUAAUGCCUGUAUGUUGCUACAUAACUUGUCGUACUCCACUGAGAAGUUAGAUCACUUCAGUCCGCUGUUACUCACCAUGGAAAAAUGCCCAGUGGUCCCUGCUCCCUGGAUGUUAAGGGCUGUUGGCUGUCGCUAGGUGGUUAAAUAUUUCAGUGUGUUUAGGGAUUGAACUAUUCAGACUUAGUGUGAUGGUAUUCUAGAGGAAUGUAGCAAAGGGCAAAGGGGGGCAUCAAAAUAUCAAAGACCACCAAAGUGCUGAUGUGCUGAGGCAAUGUGGCAGUCAAAGAUGUUGUUAGAUAACGUUCUCCUUAGGCAUUGUCAGGGUAACAUUAAAAGGUCCUUCAAUUUAAAAUUGGAAAAUCCAUUUGAUCAUGUUGCCUGUCUAUCAUGUGACCUGUCUUCCCAAAAUGUCGUCUCUUGCUGUAUGUUGCAUGUUUCGUCACAAGAUGAGAUUUUCUCGCCAUUCCACUAAGCUGAACCGAAAGUGAACCAGAUAAAAGCUAAGCAUGAUUUCCUUUUCUCCAUGUGGUCACUGCCGUUCCAUGAAGUUGUGUCUUUAAGAGGGUCUACUAAGUUGCAAGACAAAUGUGUUGGAAGGAAGGAAUCUGUAAAGUUCAGAGAGUAUUUUGGCUUCUGCAGGCAUUUGAGUUAACAAUUGGAAAAGAACCUAUCUAAUAAUCUGUCCACGUUGGCUUAAAAUGCAGUCCAUUUCGCAGACUUGUUGUCCAUGGUUAUCUGUACAGGUUGAUUAUUAUAUUCAGGUGAUUUUGUUGCAGCCAGCUGGUGAAAGUGAGUUCAAGUCAAAUUCAGCUGAAGCUUCUUGAAGCAGUUUACAUUACUGGUGUCAUCCUGAACUGGGGAAGUGUUACUUGAAUUGUAACAGCAACAAAGACAUCUUGAAAAGGAUAUGGUGACAAUGUGAAAAGUCAAAUGCUGCAUGCAUUUCAUGUUGGGGUUAUCCAAAAAUGUUGUAGCAAGACUCAUAGCAAAUCUUCAAGCAUAGAUGCCAGAAUAUCUCUAAAAACGGAGUUAAUGGAAAUGUAAGGUGGUGGUUUUGCAGUUUGGUUCCUGUUCAAGCUGUUGUUAUGCUGGAUCUUCCUGAAGUCCUUGAAGUAGCUGAUACUGGUUUUAUCAUACAGUUGAUUUGCCAGUGCAAUUCGAGUUGUCUACUAAAAUAUUUUCUAUUAUGUUUUCCAACGUGUAGUAUAUAAUUCAGACGAAGUGAUGGUAUUUUGUUUCUCAAUAUGGUAUGUUGUAGCUCAAAUUGGUGAAAGUUCUUUUGUGCGGUAGUUUUAAGCAACGUUCAGAUUAUUUACUUUAUACUUGGAACUUAAACCUGAAAUAACUUGUUUAAUUUUGUGAACUUGAUUGUUGUUUCAUCUAAUCAUGUACAAAACUCAUUAAAUAUACACGUUCAAAUCCGAAA